rnacentral:rRNA from 1 species
GUAGGGAAUAUUGGGCAAUGGAGGCAACUCUGACCCAGCCAUGCCGCGUGCAGGAUGACGGCCCUCUGGGUUGUAAACUGCUUUUAUACGGGAAGAAAAAAUACUACGUGUAGUAUACUGACGGUACCGUAAGAAUAAGGAUCGGCUAACUCCGUGCCAGCAGCCGCGGUAAUACGGAGGAUCCAAGCGUCGUCCGGAUUUAUUGGGUUUAAAGGGUGCGUAGGCGGAUCUUUAAGUCAGUGGUGAAAGCCUGCAGCUUAACUGUAGAAUUGCCAUUGAAACUGAAGAUCUUGAAUGUGGUUAAAGUAGGCGGAAUGUAUCAUGUAGCGGUGAAAUGCUUAGAUAUGAUACAGAACACCGAUAGCGAAGGCAGCUUGCUGAACCAUUAUUGACGCUGAGGCACGAAAGCGUGGGGAGCGAACAGGAUUAGAAACCCUGGUAGUCC